CGCCUCUCCACCUUCCAUCAUCCGCGCAAUCAUAACCCAACGAGGAGGAAAGGGAUCCCCUUCUCUACCGGCUCGGGCGGCGGUGCUCCGCCGCUCCUCUUCCUUUCAUAUGACUACGGCCUGUGUCGCCGAGCCGCUCUCCCGUGGGCACCAGAGUCGCCGCUUGGAGGAGGGUCGGGCCGUCCUAGGUCCCCAGAUGUGGUCGCCGGGGAGGAAAAGCGGCGCACCUCCCGACGCCCGCGACGCCACAAGUCCGUGAUGGCACAGCCCACGGCUGGGUGUUCGACAUCGACGAGACGCUGCUCUCGAACCUCGCCUAUUACGUGCAGCACGGAUAAGGACUCCUAGACGGUGAUUCAGGCAUCGACCUUCAUCUCACCGGAAAAGAAGUGGUGGCAGCCAAUUGACACGCUAAAACAAUGAUCAUCCACUUGACCCGUUUUUUGUAUUUUGAGUGGCUGCAAAUAGUCUAUAUUUCUUUUCCUUGCAACGUUUUGUAUUCAUAUAUCGGUUCAUAGAGUGGUGCAUUCGUUCAUGUUAGUUUAGACUAAUUGAUGUAGCUCAUCUUAUCUGCAGGCAAUAUAUUCGUGAGAGAAGCUGGAAUUCCUUUGUGAUGAUGAAACGAACUUCUCAGAUUCAGUUUCUCUAGCUUUCUUCACCAACAUAAAAAGCCUUAAGCACUGUGAAUUGCGAUUAUAGUUUGUUGUACAUGGGAUUGCGGGGUUUUUCUAGACAUUAUAUCUUCUUAAUUUAUACCAAUUUGAUAAUGGAGAGGGAUUACUUCUUGCUGGUAAAUUGGAUUGGCUGUUUUUGGAUGGAUCUAAUCUUGACAACACUUCCUGUGAUGAAUCCUGGAGAUCAGGCUGUUUUUGUAGCCUGGAGGCUCUUGUGAGGAAGUACAACAACACCCGAGCAAGAUCUCGACUUACUUCAUGUCAACAAUGGUGAAAAUGGGAAACUUGUGGCUGUCGUCCGCGAUGCACAUACAGAUCAGGUUGAUAGAUAACGAAUUGUGUGAAUAUACAUACAAAAAAUAUCGUUGCUUGAUCCUGAUAAAGUCACACUUAAUAUACAAUGCUGCUGGCGCUGGCGCAUGUGCAGGAGCUAUGAGGCUGACUCUCCGACUACUUCCGCCCGUGGAGCUGCUGGGUGCAGUUAUUUCUCGACCGCCUGAUUGACAUCUACGGCAGCUAAGACCUACAAGGUGAUACCAAAUCCUAAACCGAGACUAUGCGCGUGCCAGAAGGUUUUCAGCUAGAGAGUUUGGUGAGACAUGGAAUGGGAGCAGCAGAAGUCGAUGGACGAAAGAUAAAGGAUGGCAAAGACGCUCAGAGGACAAUUGUCGAGACACAACCGAUAUUGAAGGGGCAAGUAGCAGGUGCAAUCAUUUGUCCUAGGACAUCUUGUUUUUUUCUUGUAGGAAGGUUAAUAAUAGCCUUUUAAUUUAGUUGUUGGGAUCAUAAUCCUCUUCCAGAUAGUUUGUUCCACAAUUUAAGCGUGGGAUAUGGUUAUUUAAAUAACUAGCUACAUCAAGCAUCUAAACAUGAAUCUGCAGUUACACACUUACAGUUUAUUAUCUUCUAUAAAAAUUGUCUUUGCUCUUAUCACUUUAUGAUCACAUGGAUUGGCAUGUGAGAUUUGUUUCUACAUUACAUCAAUUUUUAGAAUUUUAUACAUAUGUUAGUCUAACAUCACUAGGUUUUGUGAAGUAGCUGACUGUAGUCCAGUAAGAUAUAUAUAUUCAUAUGUACAAGAAUUGAGGGUAUUACUUUACUAGCUAAAUUUUGGAGCUCCUUUGUUGUUGAUUCUAGCAACUGAAUGAUAAAAUGAUCUAUUUAUAUAUUUGUAGUGAUGUCGAGGAGCUCCUUCUUAGUCGGCAUGGCUUGAUUUUCUCUGUUUUUGCACAUAUGGUACCUUGAUGUGAAAUUGUUUGCUUCAUGAAUCUUCUGCUCUGAAGUGGUAGCUUUAUUAUAUAGAGUUUGUUAUAUUGCAGGGAUUGAGUUAUUUAAAAUUAGUAUUAUAUCAAGGUAUACAACCGCUGAACAUGUGGGGUGUGCUUUUACCAUGUAGCUUCAUAAAUUGUAGGCAUAUCGUGGUUCUGCUGAAAUGAUCAUACCUUUGUAUCAUAUUCCAAAUUGUAACUUACUAUUACGCUGGAUGAUGGUUCAAAUUGGAACUCGCAGUCUUA